rnacentral:rRNA from 1 species
AGAGUUUGAUCAUGGCUCAGAUUGAACGCUGGCGGCAUGCCUUACACAUGCAAGUCGAACGGUAACGCGGGGCAACCUGGCGACGAGUGGCGAACGGGUGAGUAAUACAUCGGAACGUGCCCAGUAGUGGGGGAUAGCCCGGCGAAAGCCGGAUUAAUACCGCAUACGACCUACGGGUGAAAGCGGGGGAUCGCAAGACCUCGCGCUAUUGGAGCGGCCGAUGUCAGAUUAGCUAGUUGGUGGGGUAAAAGCCUACCAAGGCGACGAUCUGUAGCUGGUCUGAGAGGACGACCAGCCACACUGGGACUGAGACACGGCCCAGACUCCUACGGGAGGCAGCAGUGGGGAAUUUUGGACAAUGGGGGCAACCCUGAUCCAGCCAUGCCGCGUGCGGGAAGAAGGCCUUCGGGUUGUAAACCGCUUUUGUCAGGGAAGAAACGGUCUGCGCUAAUACCGCGGACUAAUGACGGUACCUGAAGAAUAAGCACCGGCUAACUACGUGCCAGCAGCCGCGGUAAUACGUAGGGUGCAAGCGUUAAUCGGAAUUACUGGGCGUAAAGCGUGCGCAGGCGGCUUUGCAAGACAGAUGUGAAAUCCCCG